AGUAGAUCCAGUAGGUCCAGCUAUAUAAUACUGUCUAGUAGAGCCAGCUAUAUAACACGGUCUAGUUGAUCCAGUAGAUCCAGCUAUAUAACACUGUCUGGUAGAUCCAGUAGAUCCAGCUAUAUAACACUGUCUAGUAGAUCCAGUAGGUCCAGCUAUAUAAUACUGUCUAGUAGAGCCAGCUAUAUAACACGGUCUAGUUGAUCCAGUAGAUCCAGCUAUAUAACACUGUCUAGUAGAUCCAGUAGGUCCAGCUAUAUAAUACUGUCUAGUAGAGCCAGCUAUAUAACACGGUCUAGUUGAUCCAGUAGAUCCAGCUAUAUAACACUGUCUGGUAGGUCCAGUAGAUCCAGCUAUAUAACCCUGUCUAGUAGAUCCAGCUAUAUCACACUGUCUAGUAGAUCCAGCUAUAUCACACUGUCUAGUAGAUCCAGCUAUAUAACACUGUCUAGUAGAUCCAGCUAUAUAACACUGUCUAGUAGAUCCAGCUAUAUCACACUGUCUAGUAGAUCCAGCUAUAUAACACUGUCUAGUAGAUCCAGUAGGUCCAGCUAUAUAACACUGUCUAGUAGAUCCAGUAGAUCCAGCUAUAUAACACUGUCUAGUAGAUCCAGC
ensembl:lncRNA